rnacentral:tRNA from 1 species
GGGGAUAUAGCUCAGCUGGGAGAGCGUUGCACUGGCAGUGCAAAGGUCGGCGGUUCGAGCCCGCUUAUCUCCA